rnacentral:rRNA from 1 species
GACGAACGCUGGCGGCGUGCUUAACACAUGCAAGUCGAACGGAAAGGCCCUGCUUGCAGGGUACUCGAGUGGCGAACGGGUGAGUAACACGUGGGUGAUCUGCCCUGCACUUCGGGAUAAGCCUGGGAAGCUGGGUCUAAUACCGGAUAGGAGCCAUUUUUAGUGUGAUGGUUGGAAAGUUUUUUUGGUGUAGGAUGAGCUCGCGGCCUAUCAGCUUGUUGGUGGGGUAAUGGCCUACCAAGGCGGCGACGGGUAGCCGGCCUGAGAGGGUGGACGGCCACAUUGGGACUGAGAUACGGCCCAGACUCCUACGGGAGGCAGCAGUGGGGAAUAUUGCACAAUGGGCGCAAGCCUGAUGCAGCGACGCCGCGUGGGGGAUGACGGCCUUCGGGUUGUAAACUCCUUUCGCUAGGGACGAAGCUUUUUGUGACGGUACCUAGAUAAGAAGCACCGGCUAACUACGUG